UCUGGGUGGCAUGGUUAUGUGCCGUUGCUCUUGGCUUGGCUUUGACCUUGUCAGGGCGAUUCGGUGUCGUGCCGUGCAACCUUUUUGCCGUAUCUGUUUCGACAGGUGCUGAUAGGCCAUGUGCUUGUUAGCAUGCUUCCAGAUGCCUUUAAACGGGUGUCGGUGGCAGACGGCACGUUUACUUUGAACAAAUUUGAGUGCUCAAAGCAGGCUUAUGCCUGAAAAUUCUUGCAUGGAAUAAUGGAAUAGGACUUCGGUUCUAUUUUGUUGGUUUUCGGAUCCAAGUAAUGG
rnacentral:rRNA from 1 species